GAGCCGGAGGGAAACCGAGUCUUAACCGGGCGUUAAGUUGCAGGGUAUAGACCCGAAACCCGGUGAUCUAGCCAUGGGCAGGUUGAAGGUUGGGUAACACUAACUGGAGGACCGAACCGACUAAUGUUGAAAAAUUAGCGGAUGACCUGUGGCUGGGGGUGAAAGGCCAAUCAAACCGGGAGAUAGCUGGUUCUCCCCGAAAGCUAUUUAGGUAGCGCCUCGUGAAUUCAUCUCCGGGGGUAGAGCACUGUUUCGGCUAGGGGGCCAUCCCGGCUUACCAACCCGAUGCAAACUGCGAAUACCGGAGAAUGUUAUCACGGGAGACACACGGCGGGUGCUAACGUCCGUCGUGAAGAGGGAAACAACCCAGACCGCCAGCUAAGGUCCCAAAGUCAUGGUUAAGUGGGAAACGAUGUGGGAAGGCCCAGACAGCCAGGAUGUUGGCUUAGAAGCAGCCAUCAUUUAAAGAAAGCGUAAUAGCUCACUGGUCGAGUCGGCCUGCGCGGAAGAUGUAACGGGGCUAAACCAUGCACCGAAGCUGCGGCAGCGACGCUGAUGCGUUGUUGGGUAGGGGAGCGUUCUGUAAGCCUGCGAAGGUGGCCUGUGAGGGUUGCUGGAGGUAUCAGAAGUGCGAAUGCUGACAUAAGUAACGAUAAAGCGGGUGAAAAGCCCGCUCGCCGGAAGACCAAGGGUUCCUGUCCAACGUUAAUCGGGGCAGGGUGAGUCGACCCCUAAGGCGAGGCCGAAAGGCGUAGUCGAUGGGAAACGGGUUAAUAUUCCCGUACUUGGUGUUACUGCGAAGGGGGGACGGAGAAGGCUAUGUUGGCCGGGCGACGGUU
rnacentral:rRNA from 1 species